UUUGGACACCUCUGAGUCAGACCAACUCACUCCAACAUUGAGGGAGAAGAUCGGGAUGUCUGGAGUCUUCCUCACAGCUGUGCUGAACCGGGGCUCAAAGAACCGUCCUUAUCUCUAUAGACUGACAGGUUGGCUUUCACUUGCAAAAGACAUAACAGCAAAGAAACAUCUUGACAAUGAAGGGGACAGUCAGAAAACAGCCGGGCCUUUACGGAAUAGCAGGUCACUUCAAAGCUCGGCACUGAAUACAAGGACGAGUGUGGAAUUCUUCCUCACAGAUCCCAAACGUUCCCGACGUUAAAUCUGGCAUCUGCAGAUCCAUGUCCUAAACCCCCCUGCAGAUGAUUUCACAGCCUCAAUAAAAACGUAAGGACCCCCCA